CUUCUUCUGCCCCACAUUUUUCCUUGUCUACCUUCUCUCUCAAAACCAAAUUUUCCCAUUUCUAUUUCCUCAAUGUUCUAACAAACUAUUUUCAGUCACCAAUGACGAUAGUUUCGACCCAAAUUUGUUGUUUCAUUCCAUUUCAUAUCUUCAAUGGAUAACGACUUCCCCCAAAUUCUCAAAAAGAUGAAACCAUUAAUCUCUCUAAUUCCAUAUAAUAUUAUUGCGAUGUACAAUCCGGUGAUAAUGAGAAAUAUUAUGCUGUUGUACCGCAUACCGCAUAGUGUGCGGCCUAAUUUUUUUUACAUUAGCUUAUACAUAAAUAAGAUAUAUCGACAGUUAUUUUACUUUAAAGUUACUCAUCUAUCACGUUCUCUCUCCUUCCCCCUUUCCGCUUUUCUCGCCAUUCUGAUCUUAUUUCCACCGCGAUGGAUCAGCCAGAGGAUGGUAUUGCGUUGGAUGCAGAGAAAAAUGAGCUGGUUAAGGCAACAACUUACACUGCCGCUGAGGACAAUAUUGUGGGUGAGCUUGUGAAUGAGGCUGUUAAGGCAAAAAAUGUUGCUGAUGAUGUUAUUGUGGAGAAUGCAGUGAAAGAGCAGGUUAAGGCAACAACUGUCACUGACGCAG